UUAUCUUGAACCACAAAACAUAGCAUACCGCCCAAACACCCCUUCAUCUUCCAACCCCGCGGACUUGUCAGAGCACCUUUCCUCCCUCACCGAACAAUGACGACCUCGAACGCCCAGACCCACCCUCCCAAAUCCGACCCUCUCUCCCAAGCCCAUCAAACCCGUGACCCCAGAAGCCGACGACUAGAACUGGUGUGGUGAACCUCUCAAUUGACGACGGGACUUCGAGCGGCAACCCUCUAGGCAUCAAGAUCCACCACCUCCAAAGUAAGCAAAUAGAAAUGUGGUCCCAACGGCGAUGGAGAUAGACAGAGAACAACGACAGUCUGGUUGCGAUGGCGAAAUGGUUGACGGUGGUGGGAAGAAAAAAAUGUAGCGUCUGUGGAGAAGAAGUCGUGGGAGUGAGUUGAGAGAGAAAAAUGUAGCGGCUCAGACACAGAAUGCAGGGUUCUCUUUCUCUAGAUCUCCUGUGAUGCAGCUCAGGAGCUUAUUAUGUGGAAUGCUUACGUGUUUAUAUGCUAUUGGUGUUCGUUACUCUCAAUAGAAUAGCAAAUCCGCUCCAAAGCAAAACUCAUUUCAUGGACAUCAUAAACUUCUAGUGACUUUCUUGAUCAGGUAGAUAAAUAAUGUCAUAAAUUGCUGAUUCGUGGGUACGUUGAGUCAAUUUUUGUAUCUGUACUAAAAAUUUGCAUCCAAAUGUCCAUUUGGUUU